rnacentral:misc_RNA from 1 species
AAGUCGUAACAAGGUUUCCGUAGGUGAACCUGCGGAAGGAUCAUAAACACGUUUUACCAAAAACGUUAAACUACCAUAUCAAAAACCAAUCGCGAACUAACGUAGGUACGUUAAUAGUGUUCAGACUAAGUUGAUCUUGGCCAAAAGACUCAGAGUCGCAAGGCUCUGUCUGGUUUGAGCUAUACCAAACGCAGAGGUGGGUGCUGCGGGCUCAAAUUGGAUUCCAAUCCUGGAGGUUUUUUGUUCUUAACAUUAGUACCGAUCAACCCCUUUUUUUACGUGUGAUAGUAACUGACUAUUUUUUUCUUCUGGGAAAUGCUUUCUUCGGGAGGCACUCUCAGGUUUUGCUGGGCGGAUGGCGUAAUGCUAUCUUAGCUAUUGGCAAAAUAAAACAAACAAAGAACAACUCUUAGCAACGGAUAUCUUGGUUCCC